AACGAACGCUGGCGGCAGGCCUAACACAUGCAAGUCGAACGCCCCGCAAGGGGAGUGGCAGACGGGUGAGUAACGCGUGGGAACAUGCCCUUUGGUUCGGAAUAACUCAGGGAAACUUGAGCUAAUACCGGAUAAGCCCGAGAGGGGAAAGAUUUAUCGCCGAAGGAUUGGCCCGAGUCCGAUUAGCUAGUUGGUGAGGUAACGGCUCACCAAGGCGACGAGCUGUAGCUGGUCUGAGAGGAUGAUCAGCCACACUGGGACUGAGACACGGCCCAGACUCCUACGGGAGGCAGCAGUGGGGAAUAUUGGACAAUUUGCGCAAGCCUGAUCCAGCCAUGCCGCGUGAGUGAUGAAGGCCCUAGGGUUGUAAAGCUCUUUCGCCAGGGACGAUAAUGACGGUACCUGGAUAAGAAGCCCCGGCUAACUUCGUGCCAGCCGCCGCGGUAACAC
rnacentral:rRNA from 1 species